rnacentral:rRNA from 1 species
CCUACGGGAGACAGCAGUGAGGAAUAUUGGUCAAUGGACGAGAGUCUGAACCAGCCAAGUAGCGUGAAGGAUGACUGCCCUAUGGGUUGUAAACUUCUUUUAUAUGGGAAUAAAAUGUUCCACGUGUGGGAUUUUGUAUGUACCAUAUGAAUAAGGAUCGGCUAACUCCGUGCCAGCAGCCGCGGUAAUACGGAGGAUACGAGCGUUAUCCGGAUUUAUUGGGUUUAAAGGGAGCGUAGGUGGAUUGUUAAGUCAGUUGUGAAAGUUUGCGGCUCAACCGUAAAAUUGCAGUUGAAACUGGGAGUCUUGAGUACGGUAGAGGUGGGCGGAAGUCGUGGUGUAGCGGUGAAAUGCUUAGAUAUCACGAAGAACUCCGAUUGCGAAGGCAGCUCACUGGACUGCAACUGACACUGAGGCUCGAAAGUGUGGGUAUCAAACAGGAUUAGAUACCCGGGUAGUC